rnacentral:rRNA from 1 species
CCUACGGGGGGCUGCAGUGAGGAAUAUUGGUCAAUGGUCGCGAGUCUGAACCAGCCAUGCAGCGUGCAGGAAGACGGCUCUAUGGGUUGUAAACUGCUUUUGUGCGGGGAUAAAUCGCGUUACGUGUAUUGUUUUGUAGGUACCGCAUGAAUAAGGACCGGCUAAUUCCGUGCCAGCAGCCGCGGUAAUACGGAAGGUUCGAGCGUUAUCCGGAUUUAUUGGGUUUAAAGGGUGCGUAGGCCGCACGUUAAGUUUGCCGUGAAAUGCCGGGGCUCAACCAUGGCACUGCGUCGGGUACUGGCUGGCUAGAGUGUAGGUGCGGUAGGCGGAAUGUGUGGUGUAGCGGUGAAAUGCAUAGAGAUCACACAGAACACCGAUUGCGAAGGCAGCAUACGGAAGCGCGACUGACGCUGAAGCACGAAGGCGUGGGGAGCGAACAGGAUUAGAUACCCGUGUAGUC